rnacentral:rRNA from 1 species
GAGUUUGAUCCUGGCUCAGAUUGAACGCUGGCGGCGUGCUUAACACAUGCAAGUCGAGCGGCAGCGCGGGGGCAACCCUGGCGGCGAGCGGCGAACGGGUGAGUAAUGCUUCGGAAUCUUCCUCGUAGUGGGGAACAACCUGGGGAAACUCAGGCUAAUACCGCAUACGAACUACGGUUGAAAGCAGGGGAUCGCAAGACCUUGCGCUAUGAGAUGAGCCGAAGUCGGAUUAGCUAGUUGGUGGGGUAACGGCCUACCAAGGCGACGAUCCGUAGCUGGUCUGAGAGGACGACCAGCCACACUGGGACUGAGACACGGCCCAGACUCCUACGGGAGGCAGCAGUGGGGAAUAUUGGACAAUGGGCGAAAGCCUGAUCCAGCGACGCCGCGUGUGUGAAGAAGGCCUGCGGGUUGUAAAGCACUUUUAGUGGGGAUGGAAAAGCCAAGGGCUAAUACCCUUUGGUCUUGACCUAACCCAAGAAAAGCACCGGCUAACUCUGUGCCAGCCGCCGCCGU